GAUGAACGCUGGCGGCGUGCCUAAUACAUGCAAGUCGAGCGAACAGACGAGGAGCUUGCUCCUCUGACGUUAGCGGCGGACGGGUGAGUAACACGUGGAUAACCUACCUAUAAGACUGGGAUAACUUCGGGAAACCGGAGCUAAUACCGGAUAAUAUAUUGAACCGCAUGGUUCAAUAGUGAAAGACGGUUUUGCUGUCACUUAUAGAUGGAUCCGCGCCGCAUUAGCUAGUUGGUAAGGUAACGGCUUACCAAGGCAACGAUGCGUAGCCGACCUGAGAGGGUGAUCGGCCACACUGGAACUGAGACACGGUCCAGACUCCUACGGGAGGCAGCAGUAGGGAAUCUUCCGCAAUGGGCGAAAGCCUGACGGAGCAACGCCGCGUGAGUGAUGAAGGUCUUCGGAUCGUAAAACUCUGUUAUUGGGGAAGAACAAAUGUGUAAGUAACUAUGCACGUCUUGACGGUACCUAAGCAGAAAGCCACGGCUAACUACGU
rnacentral:rRNA from 1 species